rnacentral:rRNA from 1 species
AACGAACGCUGGCGGCAUGCCUAACACAUGCAAGUCGAACGAAGGCUUCGGCCUUAGUGGCGCACGGGUGAGUAACGCGUGGGAAACUGCCUAUUGGUGGGGAAUAACGACGGGAAACUGUCGCUAAUACCGCAUAAGCCCUUCGGGGGAAAGAUUUAUCGCCGAUAGAUGUGCCCGCGCCCGAUUAGCUAGUUGGUGAGGUAAUGGCUCACCAAGGCGACGAUCGGUAGCUAGUCUGAGAGGAUGAUCAAACACACUGGGACUGAGACACGGCCCAGACUCCUACGGGAGGCAGCAGUGGGGAAUAUUGGACAAUGGGCGAAAGCCUGAUCCAGCAAUGCCGCGUGAGUGAUGAAGGCCUUAGGGUUGUAAAGCUCUUUCGGGUGGGACGAUGAUGACGGUACCACCAGAAGAAGCCCCGGCUAACUUCGUGCCAGCCGCCGCCGUAA